rnacentral:rRNA from 1 species
GAUGAACGCUAGCUACAGGCUUAACACAUGCAAGUCGCGGGGCAUCAUGGAGGUUGCUUGCAAUUUCUGAUGGCGACCGGCGCACGGGUGAGUAACGCGUAUCCAACCUUCCCAUUACUACGGCAUACCCCGUUGAAAGGCGGCCUAAUUCCGUAUGCAGUCCGAAGCAGUCAUCUAAUUUGGACGAAAGGUAUAUUCUAUCGGUAAUGGAUGGGGAUGCGUCCGAUUAGCCAGCCGGCGGGGUAACGGCCCACCGGGGCAUUGAUCGGUAGGGGUUCUGAGAGGAAGGUCCCCCACACUGGAACUGAGACACGGUCCAGACUCCUACGGGAGGCAGCAGUGAGGAAUAUUGGUCAAUGGGCGUAAGCCUGAACCAGCCAAGUAGCGUGCAGGAUGACGGCCCUAUGGGUUGUAAACUGCUUUUAUGCGGGGAUAAAGUUGGGGACGUNUCCCUUUUGCAGNUNCCGC